ACAUAUAGGUAAAAAAAUAGUUGCACCUUCUUUUCUCUCUCAUUUCUCUCUCUUCUCUCUUUUUCCUCUCUCUAAAAUAUCGCCUCCCUAAGCCGCUGCUCUGCCGUCCCAGCCACCGGAGUGCCACCGACGCUGGCAGCCUCCAAUCCACCGCCACUCUUUUUCUUUCUUUUUCUCCAGCGACCACCAAGACACUACAUCCACCGCACCCUUCUCUCUCCCUCUGUCUAUCGUCUCCCGUCGCUGUCUCGCCAGAGGUAGUGACCGACGAGGUUUAAGCCUCCAACCGUACCACCAAAACCCCCAUCUCUUCUUUCUCUCACCACUCAUCACCACCGCUACACCCUACUACUGCUACUGUCCGUCGAAAAAUAGGGUAGAUUUGGCCGAUUUUGUGAUUCCGGUGAAAGUCGUUAAAGCUAUGCCACCACAAUCUUUGUUGUCUUCGAUUUCAUGAUUUAUUUGGUUACUAUGCUUUAUUUUUUUAAAAAUUAGAUCUAUGCAUUUCUUGUGCUCUAACGAUGUUUGACUGAUUUGGGGUUGCCUUUCAACAUUUUGGUGGCUUUGAAUUUUUCUCUAGGUGAAGCUGCUACUAAGUUUGCUCAUUUUUGGUAGUUCUGUUAUUGUUUAGCCACUGUUUUGCUGCUUGUGGACUGAUUUUUAUCUCACUUUUGCUUUUUUACUAUAUUUUACAUUUUUAUUAAAUUUAUAAUGAACAAAUGCUAUAUUAUUGGUCGAUGAAGAAAUUCUUCGUCGAUUUUUGAGGACUCCACAAAUAAAAAGAAUGACAUUUCGUAAACCAAUACAUAAUAAAAUAUAUAAAUUUGGGUGAUGACGAAAUCUUUUAUAACAACGCAAAAGUUUUAUGAUUCGUAUCUUGGCAAAAUGAUUUAAGACAGCUAAUAAAUCAACAACCACUUCGUAGCCAUGCUGUAUUUAAAAUCUAAUUUAAGCCCACUCUUAGAUUAUUCGUUACUAACAUUUAAUUUACAAGUGUUUAUACAGGUUAUUGGAAAU
rnacentral:lncRNA from 1 species